ACUCCUACGGGAGGCAGCAGUGAGGAAUAUUGGACAAUGGGGGCAACCCUGAUCCAGCCAUGCCGCGUGAUUGAAGAAGGCCCUUAGGGGUUGUAAAAGAUCUUUCAAUAGUUGAAGAUAAAUGACGGUAACUAUAGAAGAAGCCCCGGCUAACUCCGUGCCAGCAGCCGCGGUAAUACGGAGGGGCUAGCGUUGUUCGGAAUUACUGGGCGU
rnacentral:rRNA from 1 species